rnacentral:lncRNA from 1 species
UGCCACCACCAUGUAAGAAGUGCCUUUCAUAUCCUGCCAUGAUUCUGAGGCCUCCCCAGACAUGUGGAACUAGUGAUACAGAGAUGUGACCCAAGGGGUCUACCUACCAGGGAGGAGGUGUGGUUUUUACUGGAAUAUUCUGGCAAGCAAAAGUUCUCUCCUUUUGGCUUUCUCCCUGCUUCUGAAACACAUCCCUUUCCAGGAAUGCAUGCUUUCUGAGGCAGACAAAAGAAGAGUUGUUCAAGGAGAAGAAGACUUAGAGACACAGACAUACAGAGAGGGAAGAAGGCCAUGGAAAGACAAAGGCAAAGAUUGGAAUUGUACUGCCACAAGCCCAAGAAUGCGGAAACCACCAGGAGCUAGAAGCAACAAGCAAGGAUUCUUCCCUGGAUUGAUCUUUCAAAGGGAGCGCAGCCCUGCUGACACUUUAAUUUCAGACUUCUAGGCUGCAGAACCAUGAAAGAAUAAAUUUCCUUUGUUUCAA